rnacentral:rRNA from 1 species
CCUACGGGCGGCAGCAGUAGGGAAUCUUCCACAAUGGGCGAAAGCCUGAUGGAGCAACGCCGCGUGGGUGAAGAAGGUCUUCGGAUCGUAAAACCCUGUUGUUAGAGAAGAAAGUGCGUGAGAGUAACUGUUCACGUUUCGACGGUAUCUAACCAGAAAGCCACGGCUAACUACGUGCCAGCAGCCGCGGUAAUACGUAGGUGGCAAGCGUUAUCCGGAUUUAUUGGGCGUAAAGGGAACGCAGGCGGUCUUUUAAGUCUGAUGUGAAAGCCUUCGGCUUAACCGGAGUAGUGCAUUGGAAACUGGGAGACUUGAGUGCAGAAGAGGAGAGUGGAACUCCAUGUGUAGCGGGGAAAGGCGGAGAUAUAUGGAAGAACACCAGUGGCGAAAGCGGCUUACUAAACUGCCACUGACAUUGAUGCUCGAAAGUGUGGGUAUCAAACAGGAUUAGAUACCCCUGUAGUC